rnacentral:lncRNA from 1 species
UCCCAGAUGGCCACCAGCUGGCCGGAGCUAUUUCCUGCAUUCUAAUCCCUUUCUGCAUCCUCCUGGUUCUCUUUUUGAUCUCCCACGUCUGUCCCCUCCUCCUUCUAACACCCACCAUACUAUAUCCCUCUUUGGAAGCACCUAUUUUCUAAGAAAAUCUUGAGGAAUUUUUUGGAGGCAUUACGUCUUUUUUGUUUUGAAACUUUUGGAUUGUAAGGAAAACCAGCUGCAGAGCUAGCCAGAGGCCCCAGCUCUGCUCCAUCAGCAGAAGGACAGCUGUCUUUGAGGGCGGGACGAGGACCCCCACCUCGCAGGGGUCAUGGCAGACUGCUUUGUGACAAGGCCGUUGGGGGACAAAUGGACCUGACGUUCUCCAGAAACCAGGCUUCAGUCUUUGAGCUGCACUCCUCUUCCUUCAAAAUCGUGGCAAGGAGACGCCUAUUCCCCCGGUGUACUCAUGGACCAGCGAGAGCCACUGACAGAUGCAUCACUGGAUCCUAACUAAACACUUUGUUCCAUCUCCCUGUGACCAGAGUAUUGUACCACAAUCCCAGUUGUUUGCAAUAAAUGGCUUGUCUUGAUUUUCCAGAUUAUAGCUAGAAGAUUGCCUCAAACGAUGAAUUGUAGAAUGGAGCAGGAUGUCUGUGUGUCUGCGUCUUCACCCGGGUUUUUCAGGCCAGUGAGUGUCGGGUCUGCGUCUUGGAGGAAAGGGCUUUGGUGGGGUCUCCAUUAAGACUUCUGUACAGGGAGGGUUUCUGUAGAGGAGCAUGUCUGACUGGGUGGUGGUAGGAGAUUCCCAGCUGUGUCUGUGAACUUAGCUCUAUGAA